rnacentral:rRNA from 1 species
GGAUCAUUACAGAGUUACUUGAACUCCCAAACCAUUGCGAACGUUACCUUUGCCCCGUUGCUUCNGCGGGCGGGCCGGCCCCAGGGCCGCGCCCCCCCGGCCCCUCGCGGGGUGCCCGCCGGAGGAAACCCCAACUCUUGAUUAUCAUGGCCUCUCUGAGUCUUCUGUACUGAAUAAGUCAAAACUUUCAACAACGGAUCUCUUGGUUCUGGCAUCGAUGAAGAACGCAGCGAAAUGCGAUAAGUAAUGUGAAUUGCAGAAUUCAGUGAAUCAUCGAAUCUUUGAACGCACAUUGCGCCCGCCAGUAUUCUGGCGGGCAUGCCUGUUCGAGCGUCAUUUCAACCAUCAAGCCCUGUGCUUGUGCUGGGGACCUGCGGCUGCCGCANGCCCUGAAAAGCAGUGGCGGGCUCGCUGUCACACCGGGCGUAGUAGAUUACGUCUCGCCCAGGGCGUGCUGCGGGUUCUGGCCGUAAAAAGCCUUAUUUUACCCCCAAGGUUGACCUCGGAUCAGGUAGGAAGACCCGCUGAACUUAAGCAUAUCAAUAAGCGGAGGAAAAGAAACCAACAGGGAUUGCCCUAGUAACGGCGAGUGAAGCGGCAACAGCUCAAAUUUGAAAUCUGGCCUCGGCCCGAGUUGUAAUUUGCAGAGGAAGCUUUAGGCGCGGCACCAUCUGAGUCCCCUGGAACGGGGCGCCACAGAGGGUGAGAGCCCCGUAUAGAUGGACGCCUAGCCUGUGUAAAGCUCCUUCGACGAGUCGAGUAGUUUGGGAAUGCUGCUCAAAAUGGGAGGUAAAUUUCUUCUAAAGCUAAAUAUUGGCCAGAGACCGAUAGCGCACAAGUAGAGUGAUCGAAAGAUGAAAAGCACUUUGAAAAGAGGGUUAAAUAGCACGUGAAAUUGUUGAAAGGGAAGCGCUUGUGACCAGACUUGCGCCGGGCGGAUCAUCCGGUGUUCUCACCGGUGCACUCUGCCCGGCCCAGGCCAGCAUCGGUUCCCGCGGGGGGACAAAGGCCCUGGGAACGUAGCUCCUCCGGGAGUGUUAUAGCCCAGGGCGUAAUGCCCU